CAUUCUAUGACAACCAUUGCCUUAGAUGGAGAAUAAAGACCAAUCCUUGUGCGUUGAUCUCACUCAAAUCAACGAUCUAGAUUUUUUUCGGAUUUAUUGUUUUAAUGAAAUUACUUAUUAUUUAUCUGGUUUUAAUGAACCGCUGAGGGUAAAAACGUGAACUUCUAUUUCAACGAAAUGAUGCUGUUUAAUAUAUCCCGUGAAUCACGCAUUUUCCAUUCGAAGGGAAGCUGUUCCAAAACAAUGGCGAUUAUAUUUUCCCUUCCAAGAAAUAUUUUCACAGAAGAUAUAAUUGAAGAAUUUGGUAUCGCGCUGGUGAUUCGGCGUCUUCUCAAUCGCCGUUAUGGAGUUGGAGCAUGGAAAUGAAUUUGUCGUUCCAGGGUACUGGAGGAGAAUCACCAAUACUUGGGUGUGUGUUGAAGAAUCGUCCUGUCAAGAAAUUGAAUUAUUGAGCAUAUGAUAUUUAUAAUAUUGUGUGCAUUAAGACUCCGCUCAGCUGUAGAUAAAAGGCGAUUGCUAUGCAUUGUAUGCACAAUGAUUCUCUGGACGAUGGCAAGGUUCUUUUCAUGGUAAAAGAUGUUGAGUUACGUAGAUAUGAUUUCGUUUCUAUGAGAAGAGGAUGUCUAGUGCAGCCAUCGAUAGUUAAUGCAUGGUCGAUUAUGUUGAACCACGUGUCUAUAUCUGAUGCUGUGAAACAACCAAUACGAUUCUUUGCCUCUACAGACAUAUAUGCAAGUAUUCGAAGUUAAAUCUGUAUGUAACAGUGCUUUGUGAAUAUAUUGUAUGAAAUUUUUAUUUGAAGUGCUGGAACACAGAUUGAUUGCAUAUACAACAAUGAAAUGUCACAUGUGAACCGAAAACGAACAUUCUCUGAUGGAUUGGAGUGUGAGUUGCGUUUGUAUCAAACCAACUCUCUGGGUGUAAUUGACAUGUUUUUUUUUCCCUGUAUUUCCAGAUGGCAUCCCAUAUCUUCUUUGUUUUGAUUUACGCAAGGAGUUGAUGUUCGUUAUUAACAGUUCAGUACAGUUUAAUCAUCUUCCUGUUGGAACCAACUACGACCUCUUGUGUGAUGUUUUUCCUGCUCUAUUGUCCGAAUUUCUAAACGACAAUGGAGAACAUUUGAGUGCGGCGUCAGUUGCAAAAUCAACAAUUGAAGUCGUUCAACUCAACUGGGCAAAUAAAAAGAACACAAUUGACUCUUCUUUGUAUUUGAUGAGGCAUAUGGAGACUUUUGCUGGCGAUACAUCAACUAGUUGGAUGACUGGUUUAUUGAACGCAGAAAACCUUCAUCUACACAUAUUGAGGAUGAGAUAUUGCGUAUCUAUAAUUUCAUGGGACAAGAACAAGUUUAAGGAUAGAGUUUUAAUGGAUUCUUCUGCAACUUAUGGUUCUGAGCUCGCAGUGAAUCCAACCAAAUUUGAUGGUAUAUCCUGUUAGGUUGAUAAUACAGUUCUCUAGAUUAAUUUUGGUGGUGUUCUUAACAUUUCCACGUUUUUGUUGGACGUAUCAAAUAUUGUCUUUAUAUUAUUUUUGUUAUUUUUUGAUGAUUUAUUGAAUUUUUAUAUUAUAUGACGA